rnacentral:rRNA from 1 species
AGUCUGCAACCCGACUACAUGGAAGCUGGAAUCGCUAGUAAUCGCAGAUCAGAAUGCUGCGGUGAAUACGUUCCCGGGUCUUGCACACACCGCCCGCCACACCAUGGGAGUCGGGAAUGCCCGAAGUCAGUGACCCAACCGCAAGGAGGGAGCUGCCGAAGGCAGGCUCGAUAACUGGGGUGAAGUCGUAACAAGGUACC